GCGGAGGAAAAGAAACCAACUGGGAUUACCUUAGUAACGGCGAGUGAAGCGGUAAAAGCUCAAAUUUGAAAUCUGGUACUUUCAGUGCCCGAGUUGUAAUUUGUAGAAUUUGUCUUUGAUUAGGUCCUUGUCUAUGUUCCUUGGAACAGGACGUCAUAGAGGGUGAGAAUCCCGUUUGGCGAGGAUACCUUUUCUCUGUAAGACUUUUUCGAAGAGUCGAGUUGUUUGGGAAUGCAGCUCAAAGUGGGUGGUAAAUUCCAUCUAAAGCUAAAUAUUGGCGAGAGACCGAUAGCGAACAAGUACAGUGAUGGAAAGAUGAAAAGAACUUUGAAAAGAGAGUGAAAAAGUACGUGAAAUUGUUGAAAGGGAAGGGCAUUUGAUCAGACAUGGUGUUUUUUGCAUGCACUCGCCUCUCGUGGGCUUGGGCCUCUCAAAAAUUUCACUGGGCCAACAUCAAUUCUGGCAGCAGGAUAAAUCAUUAAGAAUGUAGCUACUUCGGUAGUGUUAUAGCUUUUUGGAAUACUGUUAGCCGGGAUUGAGGACUGCGCUUCGGCAAGGAUGUUGGCAUAAUGGUUAAAUGCCGCCCGUUUG
rnacentral:rRNA from 1 species